CCUGCGCGUGGCACGCCACUUCCAGUGCACAGACCCCAAAAACUGCAGCGUGGUGAGUCGCCAGCUCCCUGGGCUGCUACCAAACAUGGCCCUAACUCCUCCAACCCCCUUGGUGGGCCUGUUUUCACUGUGGCAGGAGCUGACUCCAGACUACAGCAUGGAGAGCCACCAGCGGGACCACGAGAACUACGUGGCAUGCUCACGCAGCCACCGGCGCCGAGCCAAGGCCCUGCUGGACUUUGAGCGGCACGACGACGACGAGCUGGGCUUCCGCAAGAACGACAUCAUCACAAUCGUGUCUCAGAAGGACGAGCACUGCUGGGUGGGGGAGCUCAACGGCCUGCGAGGCUGGUUUCCAGCCAAGUUCGUGGAAGUCCUGGAUGAGCGCAGCAAAGAGUACUCCAUCGCGGGGGAUGACUCGGUGACGGAGGGGGUCACAGACCUCGUGCGAGGGACCCUCUGCCCGGCCCUUAAGGCCCUGUUCGAACAUGGACUGAAGAAGCCAUCCCUGCUUGGGGGCGCCUGCCACCCCUGGCUGUUUAUCGAGGAGGCUGCAGGCCGGGAGGUCGAGAGAGACUUUGCCUCCGUGUAUUCCCGUCUGGUGCUCUGUAAGACCUUCAGGUUGGAUGAAGAUGGCAAAGUCCUGACCCCGGAGGAGCUGCUCUACCGGGCCGUGCAGUCUGUGAACGUGACCCACGAUGCAGUGCAUGCACAAAUGGAUGUGAAGCUCCGCUCACUGAUCUGCGUGGGGCUCAAGUGAGUGUGGAAAAGGGGUUGAAGGAGAGCCCUGGAGUGGGGGGACCCAGCCCAGCAUCAGGGGGGGUCCUUACAGGGAACCCUAAAGGACAAAGAAC
rnacentral:sRNA from 1 species